rnacentral:rRNA from 1 species
UUUUUGGGCAAUGGAGGAAAUUUUGACCGAGCAACGCCGCGUGAACGACGAAGUACUUUGGUAUGUAAAGUUCUUUUAUCAAGGAAGAAAAGCAAGUGGUGAACCAUUUGUUUGCCGGUACUUGAUGAAUAAGCCCCGGCUAAUUAUGUGCCAGCAGCCGCGGUAAGACAUAAGGGGCAAGUGUUAUCCGGAAUUAUUGGGCGUAAAGGGUGCGUAGGCGGUCUAGUAAGUCAGUGGUGUAAUGGCAACGCUCAACGUUGUCCGGCUAUUGAAACUGCUAAACUUGAGUUAGAUAGAGGCGAGUGGAAUUCCAUGUGUAGCGGUAAAAUGCGUAAAUAUAUGGAGGAACACCAGAGGCGUAGGCGGCUCGCUGGGUCUUAACUGACGCUGAGGCACGAAAGCGUGGGGAGCAAACAGGAUUAGAUACCCUGGUAGUCCACGCCGUAAACGAUGAGUACUAAGUGUCGGGUUAAACCGGUACUGAAGUUAACACAUUAAGUACUCCGCCUGAGUAGUACGUACGCAAGUAUGAAACUUAAAGGAAUUGACGGGACUCCGCACAAGCGGUGGAUCAUGUUGUUUAAUUCGAAGAUACCCGAAAAACCUUACCAGGUCUUGACAUGUUUUUGCGAAACGGUAGUAAUAUCGUGGAGGUUAUCAGAAACACAGGUGGUGCAUGGUUGUCGUCAGCUCGUGUCGUGAGAUGUUAGGUUAAGUCCUAAAACGAGCGAAACCCUUAUCGUUAGUUGCCAGCACGUUAUGGUGGGGACUUUAACGAGACUGCCAGUGAUAAAUUGGAGGAAGGUGAGGAUCACGUCAAAUCAGCAUGCCCCUUAUGACCUGGGCUACAAACGUGAUACAAUGGCUGUUACAAAGGGUAGCUGAAACGCAAGUUCUUGGCCAAUCCCCAAAAACAGUCUCAGUCCGGAUUGAAGUCUGCAACUCGACUUCAUGAAGUUGGAAUCGCUAGUAAUCGCGAAUCAGCAUGUCGCGGUGAAUACGUUCUCGGGGUUUGUACACACCGCCCGUCAAACCACGAAAGUUGGCAAUACCCCAAAACGGUAGCCUAACUCGUUUAUCGAGAGGGCGCUGUCUAAGGUAGGGUCGAUGAUUGGGGUUAAGUCGUAACAAGGUAUCCCUACCGGAAGGUGGGGAUGGAUCACCUCCUUUCUAAGGAAACCAAUAAAAUCAAUCAUCUUCAGUUUUGAAAGACUUAGGAUAACUAAGUUUUUCUUCGUGACUUCACGAAGGGCCUAUAGCUCAGUUGGUUAGAGCACACGCCUGAUAAGCGUGAGGUCGGUGGUUCAAGUCCAUUUAGGCCCACCAGAGUUAUAGGUGUCGUAAGAACACAAAUUCUUUGAAAAUUAGGUAAAUAAUAGUUAUUUUUCCGGAACAUUAAAGGAAAUAAGAGCGCACAGUGGAUGCCUAGGCACCAAGAGCC